CCGACAAUAGCUCAGUUGGAAGAGCAUCAGACUGUAAUGGUUACAUUGGCAUCUGGGUGUCGCCUGUUCGAGCCAGGCUUGUCGGA
rnacentral:tRNA from 1 species